rnacentral:rRNA from 1 species
UCGAGAAUUUUUCACAAUGGGCGCAAGCCUGAUGGAGCGACGCCGCGUGGGGGAUGAAUGGCUUCGGCCCGUAAACCCCUGUCAUUUGCGAUCAAACCUUGCUAUUUAAAAGAUGGCGAGCUGAUAGUAGCGAAAGAGGAAGGGACGGCUAACUCUGUGCCAGCAGCCGCGGUAAUACAGAGGUCCCAAGCGUGGUGCGGAUUCACUGGGCGUAAAGGGUGCGUAGGUGGUGGGGUAAGUCGGAUGUGAAAUCUCGGAGCUCAACUCCGAAAUGGCAUUGGAAACUACCCUGCGAGAGGGUCGGAGGGGGGAGUGGAAUUCUCGGUGUAGCAGUGAAAUGCGUAGAUAUCGAGAGGAACACCAGUGGCGAAGGCGAGUCCCUGGACGACUCCUGACACUGAGGCACGAAAGCUAGGGGAGCAAACA